rnacentral:rRNA from 1 species
UACGAAGGGGGCGAGCGUUGUUCGGAAUUACUGGGCGUAAAGGGCGCGCAGGCGGCCCUUGAAGUCAGGCGUGAAAGCCCCGGGCUCAACCUGGGAGGUGCGCUUGAUACUCGAGGGCUUGAGUGCGGGAGAGGAGAGUGGAAUUCCCAGUGUAGAGGUGAAAUUCGUAGAUAUUGGGAAGAACACCGGUGGCGAAGGCGGCUCUCUGGACCGUAACUGACGCUGAUGCACGAAAGCUGGGGGAGCAAACAGG